GCCACCGUCGCUCAAUCCGGCAGAGCGUCUGCCUCAAGAGCAGAUGUCUUCCCAGACUUCCGGGUUCAAAUCCCGGCGGUGGCG
rnacentral:tRNA from 1 species